GAUGAACGCUGGCGGCGUGCCUAAUACAUGCAAGUCGAGCGAACAGACGAGGAGCUUGCUCCUUCGACGUUAGCGGCGGACGGGUGAGUAACACGUAGGUAACCUACCUAUAAGACUGGGAUAACUUCGGGAAACCGGAGCUAAUACCGGAUAAUAUUUCGAACCGCAUGGUUCGAUAGUGAAAGAUGGCUUUGCUAUCACUUAUAGAUGGACCUGCGCCGUAUUAGCUAGUUGGUAAGGUAACGGCUUACCAAGGCAACGAUCCGUAGCCGACCUGAGAGGGUGAUCGGCCACACUGGAACUGAGACACGGUCCAGACUCCUACGGGAGGCAGCAGUAGGGAAUCUUCCGCAAUGGGCGAAAGCCUGACGGAGCAACGCCGCGUGAGUGAUGAAGGUCUUCGGAUCGUAAAACUCUGUUAUUAGGGAAGAACAAACGUGUAAGUAACUGUGCACGUCUUGACGGUACCUAAUCAGAAAGCCACGGCUAACUACGUG
rnacentral:rRNA from 1 species